rnacentral:rRNA from 1 species
ACGGUGAAGCCAAGCUUGCUUGGUGGAUCAGUGGCGAACGGGUGAGUAACACGUGAGCAACCUGCCCUGAACUCUGGGAUAAGCGCUGGAAACGGCGUCUAAUACUGGAUAUGAGCUGCGGAGGCAUCUUCGUGGUUGGAAAGAUUUUUCGGUUUGGGAUGGGCUCGCGGCCUAUCAGCUUGUUGGUGAGGUAAUGGCUCACCAAGGCGUCGACGGGUAGCCGGCCUGAGAGGGUGACCGGCCACACUGGGACUGAGACACGGCCCAGACUCCUACGGGAGGCAGCAGUGGGGAAUAUUGCACAAUGGGCGGAAGCCUGAUGCAGCAACGCCGCGUGAGGGAUGACGGCCUUCGGGUUGUAAACCUCUUUUAGCAGGGAAGAAGCGAAAGUGACGGUACCUGCAGAAAAAGCGCCGGCUAACUACGUGCCAGCAGCCGCGGUAAUACGUAGGGCGCAAGCGUUAUCCGGAAUUAUUGGGCGUAAAGAGCUCGUAGGCGGUUUGUCGCGUCUGCUGUGAAAACCCGAGGCUCAACCUCGGGCCUGCAGUGGGUACGGGCAGACUAGAGUGCGGUAGGGGAGAUUGGAAUUCCUGGUGUAGCGGUGGAAUGCGCAGAUAUCAGGAGGAACACCGAUGGCGAAGGCAGAUCUCUGGGCCGUAACUGACGCUGAGGAGCGAAAGGGUGGGGAGCAAACAGGCUUAGAUACCCUGGUAGUCCACCCCGUAAACGUUGGGAACUAGUUGUGGGGUCCAUUCCACGGAUUCCGUGACGCAGCUAACGCAUUAAGUUCCCCGCCUGGGGAGUACGGCCGCAAGGCUAAAACUCAAAGGAAUUGACGGGGACCCGCACAAGCGGCGGAGCAUGCGGAUUAAUUCGAUGCAACGCGAAGAACCUUACCAAGGCUUGACAUACACGAGAACGCUGCAGAAAUGUAGAACUCUUUGGACACUCGUGAACAGGUGGUGCAUGGUUGUCGUCAGCUCGUGUCGUGAGAUGUUGGGUUAAGUCCCGCAACGAGCGCAACCCUCGUUCUAUGUUGCCAGCACGUAAUGGUGGGAACUCAUGGGAUACUGCCGGGGUCAACUCGGAGGAAGGUGGGGAUGACGUCAAAUCAUCAUGCCCCUUAUGUCUUGGGCUUCACGCAUGCUACAAUGGCCGGUACAAAGGGCUGCAAUACCGCGAGGUGGAGCGAAUCCCAAAAAGCCGGUCCCAGUUCGGAUUGAGGUCUGCAACUCGACCUCAUGAAGUCGGAGUCGCUAGUAAUCGCAGAUCAGCAACGCUGCGGUGAAUACGUUCCCGGGUCUUGUACACACCGCCCGUCAAGUCAUGAAAGUCGGUAACACCUGAAGCCGGUGGCCCAACCCUUGUGGAGGGAGCCGUCGAAGGUGGGAUCGGUAAUUAGGACUAAGUCGUAA